AACGAACGCUAGCGGCAUGCCUAACACAUGCAAGUCGAACGAGAUCUUCGGGUCUAGUGGCGCACGGGUGCGUAACGCGUGGGAAUCUGCCCUUUGGUUCGGAAUAACAGUUGGAAACGACUGCUAAUACCGGAUGAUGACGAAAGUCCAAAGAUUUAUCGCCAGAGGAUGAGCCCGCGUAGGAUUAGCUAGUUGGUGUGGUAAAGGCGCACCAAGGCGACGAUCCUUAGCUGGUCCGAGAGGAUGAUCAGCCACACUGGGACUGAGACACGGCCCAGACUCCUACGGGAGGCAGCAGUGGGGAAUAUUGGACAAUGGGCGAAAGCCUGAUCCAGCAAUGCCGCGUGAGUGAUGAAGGCCUUAGGGUUGUAAAGCUCCUUUACCCGGGAUGAUAAUGACAGUACCGGGAGAAUAAGCUCCGGCUAACUCCGUGCCAGCCGCCGCCGUAA
rnacentral:rRNA from 1 species